GAUGAACGCUGGCGGCGUGCCUAAUACAUGCAAGUCGAGCGAACGGACGAGAAGCUUGCUUUUCUGAUGUUAGCGGCGGACGGGUGAGUAACACGUGGAUAACCUACCUAUAAGACUGGGAUAACUUCGGGAAACCGGAGCUAAUACCGGAUAAUAUUUUGAACCGCAUGGUUCAAAAGUGAAAGACGGUCUUGCUGUCACUUAUAGAUGGAUCCGCGCUGCAUUAGCUAGUUGGUAAGGUAACGGCUUACCAAGGCAACGAUGCAUAGCCGACCUGAGAGGGUGAUCGGCCACACUGGAACUGAGACACGGUCCAGACGCCUACGGGAGGCAGCAGUAGGGAAUCUUCCGCAAUGGGCGAAAGCCUGACGGAGCAACGCCGCGUGAGUGAUGAAGGUCUUCGGAUCGUAAAACUCUGUUAUUAGGGAAGAACAUAUGUGUAAGUAACUGUGCACAUCGUGACGGUACCUAAUCAGAAAGCCACGGCUAACUACGUG
rnacentral:rRNA from 1 species